GAUUAGGAAGUAAGAGGGCUCUAGACAAGGUGUCUAUGUAAGCCCCCAUUUCUAAAGCCCCUCUCCCGCAGCUUUUAGGGGUUGGGGUGGCCUUAUGUCUUCUCUAGUGAAGGUAGUAGAGGUGCAGUUCUUUAUCUAAAAUAAAUGGACGGCUCAUGAUUUUUCUGAUCUUCGUAAACAAGUCAUAGAUUGAAAUAAACAGGUCUGUGAGGACCAUAAAUAUGAGCAGGCCCUAGGUAAUUGCCUAUUGUUCAUAUGGCGAAGGACAGUCCCUCAUUGGGACCCAAAUCUUUCUUUCUCAUGAUGUCUGUGAAUAUACUGCAUCAUUCUGCCCAAUGCCUUGCUUAUAUAAAUAGUAGCCACGUCUCUCUUACUACAUGCCCUCAACACAAGGUUUUUCUGGCCAUUCCAAGGGUUGGAAGGUAUGAGUUGUGUUUAUGAAGAGAAAACAUAGUGUAAAUUUCCACCAGUCGGCAGGAGCAUCCGAUUGGUUUCUAUGGUGACUGCUCCACAUUCUUUCCCAAAUGUAUUUUUUUGAAAAAUGUCUUUAUUAAAGAAAUGCCCAUUCACGACUUAUUGCGUCAUCGCCAUGUGUCUUACAUCUCCCGUACAGCACACAAUCAGAAAUAUGAAGCUGCGGGAUUAUUACAUCUAAAUGGCAUGUUUAUGAAUGAACCAAGUUGUAAUAUUUAAAAAAAAAAGUGAUUAAUUCACCGAUGGCUUCGGUAAUAAAGAAGGCUCAGUGAAGCUUAGGAGAAA